UGGGGAAUAUUGGACAAUGGGCGAAAGCCUGAUCCAGCCAUGCCGCGUGUGUGAAGAAGGUCUUCGGAUUGUAAAGCACUUUAAGUUGGGAGGAAGGGUUGUAGAUUAAUACUCUGCAAUUUUGACGUUACCGACAGAAUAAGCACCGGCUAACUCUGUGCCAGCAGCCGCGGUAAUACAGAGGGUGCAAGCGUUAAUCGGAAUUACUGGGCGUAAAGCGCGCGUAGGUGGUUUGUUAAGUUGGAUGUGAAAUCCCCGGGCUCAACCUGGGAACUGCAUCCAAAACUGGCAAGCUAGAGUAUGGUAGAGGGUGGUGGAAUUUCCUGUGUAGCGGUGAAAUGCGUAGAUAUAGGAAGGAACACCAGUGGCGAAGGCGACCACCUGGACUGAUACUGACGCUGAGGUGCGAAAGCGUGGGGAGCAAACAGGAUUAGAUACCCACGUAGUCCCUGAGCGGGCUGGCAAGGCGCAU
rnacentral:rRNA from 1 species